AUCCUGGCUCAGGAUGAACGCUAGCUACAGGCUUAACACAUGCAAGUCGAGGGGCAGCAUUGAGAUAGCUUGCUAUUCAGAUGGCGACCGGCGCACGGGUGAGUAACGCGUAUCCAACCUUCCCUAUAGUAGAGAAUAGCCCGGCGAAAGUCGGAUUAAUGCUCUAUAUGUUCUAUUGAUGGCAUCAGAGAUUGAACAAAGAAUUUCGCUAUAGGAUGGGGAUGCGUCUGAUUAGCUUGUUGGCGGGGUAACGGCCCACCAAGGCAACGAUCAGUAGGGGUUCUGAGAGGAAGGUCCCCCACAUUGGUACUGAGACACGGACCAAACUCCUACGGGAGGCAGCAGUGAGGAAUAUUGGUCAAUGGGCGCAAGCCUGAACCAGCCAAGUAAGCGUGCAGGACGACUGCCCUAUGGGUUGUAAACUGCUUUUAUAGGGGAAUAAAGUGAGGUAUGUAUACCUUUUUGUAUGUACCCUAUGAAUAAGGACCGGCUAAUUCCGUGCCAGCCGCCGC
rnacentral:rRNA from 1 species